rnacentral:lncRNA from 1 species
CACAAGCAUAGUCUGCUGAAGGGCUCUGAACAUUAAGCUGCAUGCCUUGCUGAGUUUUAUUCCAAAUAGACAACAGCAGAUGGUAACAAUGCACUUCUCAUAGAUGGUAGGAGGGAGGCAGUCUUGUUUCAAGUAAUACUAUUUCUGGGCGAUAAUCCAAAAUGCGCAGUAGGCAGAAGUUAAAAGGAGGCGCUUGCUUUUAGGUUUUAAAAAUAUAUCCCUUAAUCCUGGGUGAUGAUUGACAAUCAUGAUUUAGAGUAUGAGGGGCCUCUCUUUAAUCCUGCAAGUUUGAUGUUAUUUGCGUAUCUAGUAGGGCUUUUAUUCAACUAAAACUAAGUGGAAGCCUGUGCAAUUGAUGCCGCAUUUCAGAAUUGAUUCUUGGCCUGGUACUCUAUUUACAGAUUAGAUUUAGAUAUAAGGGCUAAAAUGUACUUCCCAGGAGACAUUCUGGCUGCUAGGAGUGUGUAGAAGCAUUCAAAGUGGGUUCCUCUGGAGUCGGGAGGCAGUCAAUACUUGAAUGAAUGAGUGGAUGAAUGCUUCCCCUCUAUGAAAGAAGCUAUGGAAGAAUAGAAACUUUUGAAGCUGUGGAGCUUUCCAGGAAGAUUAUCAGCAACAUCGGAGAGCACCCAUUCCAGGAAUGGCCUGCAGAAGUCAGCCCCACUUUUCCCAUCUGGAAACAUCCCACCCAUCACUGCUUCCCCACCCUCUCUUCAUGCCCUCAGCUGCAGAUAACAUACUAGACAUUCUGCCAUGAAGACUCCGCUGGCCCAUAUGCGAGACUCUCCGUGUUCACAGCUUAUCACAUAAUAUCAUUUCCUGCUCUUCACAAUCUUCCUUUCAAAUGCUUUAAGGCAGUACUUCAUCCUUUUUUCAGACAUCUUCUUAGUGAACCAUGUAAGAUUAGCAUCUCAGUGAAUCUAAAUUCUCUUUUCUGCCCAGGCAAGCACUAGCAUGUGACAUUGGGCAAGUGAUUUAUCCCUUGUAUGCGACGGUGUCCUACUCAGUGAACCAGAGGCAUGUGUGAGAGGCCUUUUUGCAAUAUGGUACUUAGCACCAACAAAUGGAAUAAAAACACCACAAAAGAAUUUGGAAAAUAGAAAUUCACAUGUAAGUGUUCCUAUGAUAAUAAGAUAUGGCUCGUAAUUUUGUUGCCCGUAUUGAAGGAGUGGCCUAGUUUGUUGACCAAGUGGAUUUUAGCAUUUUCUUCAGCUCUGAACACUGACUUUAUUUUGUAGUGUAACGUUAGAAUAAGGUAGACAGUGAGAAGGGGGUUGAAGAAGAGAAGCAGCCAGCAGGUAAUGACUGAAGAAACCUGAAGCAUAUUCUACCUAUCAGGUGUGUUGAUGGUUUUGGCCAAGAAUUCACAUACAAGGAAGCCAGGUACAAAAUACCACAAUUUCUUUAGCUGCAGGCGGAGAGUUUGUGUCAGUUCCUUUUUUCCCGUGCUUUCAUCCAUAUGCAAGCAAGUGAUAACAUGUACUAAGUUAAAUAAUGCAUGGUACUUCAACUAUUCUUACUUUCUAUCCUUUGGUUAUUGUAAUUACAUGUAAUUUUGUGACGGAUUUUGUAUUUUUUAAGAAAUCGCACUUUUGUACCGGAUCCAGCUAACAGGAUUUUCUUACAUUACUUCAUAAAGAGACCAUCUUUUAAACUUCUAAUGUUAUUUCUUAUUCAUUAGUACAUUUGCCUGUGGGGUAUGUUCAUAAAUGGGUUAAAGUUACAAAGUUAUGCUUAUAAAAGCUCAUGGUAAUUUGGAGUAUCAGGA